rnacentral:snRNA from 1 species
ACCACUUCUCGGCCUGGGUAGAUCAAGUGUUGCGUAUCUAUUUAUAUCAGUUUAAUAUCUUUUUUUCAUACAUCCUCUAUCGGAGGAUAUAUAUUUGAAUGGAUUUUGGGAGCCUAGGAGAUGACUAGUAACUUGCCCCACUCCACCCAUUGACCUGGUAUAUUACAGUACCUCCAGAAUGGUGCAUCCCCU